ACGAACGCUGGCGGCGUGCCUAAUACAUGCAAGUCGAACGGUCUUUCUAUGGAAGCUUGCUUCCACUGAGAAGAUAGUGGCGAACGGGUGAGUAACACGUGGGUAACCUGCCCAUAAGAGGGGGAUAACAUCCGGAAACGGGUGCUAAUACCGCAUAGUUUUCUUGAUUGCAUGAUUGAGAAAGGAAAGACGGCCUUUGUGCUGUCGCUUAUGGAUGGACCCGCGGCGUAUUAGUUAGUUGGUGAGGUAACGGCUCACCAAGACGAUGAUACGUAGCCGACCUGAGAGGGUGAUCGGCCACAUUGGGACUGAGACACGGCCCAAACUCCUACGGGAGGCAGCAGUAGGGAAUCUUCCGCAAUGGACGAAAGUCUGACGGAGCAACGCCGCGUGAGUGAAGAAGGUUUUCGGAAUCGUAAAACUCUGUUGUCAGAGAAGAACAAGUUGGAGAGUAACUGCUCCAGCCUUGACGGUAUCUGACCAGAAAGCCACGGCUAACUACGUGCCAGCAGCAGC
rnacentral:rRNA from 1 species